UCCUUGGCCGAGAGGCCUGGGUAAUCUUGUAAACUCCGUCGUGCUGGGGAUAGAGCAUUGCAAUUAUUGCUCUUCAACGAGGAAUUCCUUGUAAGCGCAAGUCAUCAGCUUGCGUUGAACGUGUCCCUGCCUUUUGUACACACCGCCCGUCGCUACUACCGAUUGAAUGGCUUAGUGAGGAGUUCGGACUGCGUUCGG
rnacentral:rRNA from 1 species